GUCUACGACCAUAUCACUUUGAAAACACCGGUUCUCGUCCGAUCACCGAAGUUAAGCAACGUCGAGCCCGGUUAGUACUUGGAUGGGUGACAGCCUUGUGAUACCGGGUGUUGUAUACA
rnacentral:rRNA from 1 species